UUGGAUCCUAUCUGAGUUAUAUCUUAGCCUUCCUUGAGACAUCUCAGCUUUCAUAAUUACAUAUAACAAUACAAAGAAAUGGUGAAGUGUUGUUUCACUGAACUGGAUGUACAGGGCAGAUAAUGACUACUGGACACUCUGUGAUCCUCACAAGUGGAGUGAGAGGCUUACUGUGAAGGCUUAAGACGUUCUAAGAACUUUUAUAAAGGUACAAAUGCAGCCUGCCAGCAACUCAACUGCUUCUUCCAGAUGCACUUGUGUCCAGUGAAUGAGACAGUGAACUCAUCUGUCGUGUAGCUACUUACUAAGAAUUGAAAUGUCCUUCUGGAGAGAGGGAAACUCAUAAAGCUCAAAAGGAACAUGAAAUUAAGCAAGUAAAACGUGUCUUCCAAAUAGCUGCAUGUAGACAUAUGUGAGGAUCAAAGAUUGAAAGAGCAACACACUGCACCCAAAGAUGAUCUCUUCACUACAGUGUUUGUGAAUCUACAGCCACAGUCUCUUUCCUCAAAUAUA